UACGUAGGGUGCAAGCGUUGUCCGGAAUUUAUUGGGCGUAAAGAGCUCGUAGGCGGUCUGUCGCGUCUGCUGUGAAAACUCGGGGCUUAACCCCGGGCCUGCAGUGGGUACGGGCAGACUAGAGUGCGGUAGGGGAGACUGGAAUUCCUGGUGUAGCGGUGGAAUGCGCAGAUAUCAGGAGGAACACCCGUGGCGAAAGCGGCUCUCUGGAACGGUACUGACGCUGAGACGCGAAAAGCGU
rnacentral:rRNA from 1 species